rnacentral:rRNA from 1 species
UUCUAACCGUAAACGAUGACAACCAGCGAUUAAUCGGCGUUAAUAUAUGACCCGAUUAGCAGCUUCCGGGAAACCAAAGUUUUUCGUUUCCGGGGGAAGUAUGGUUGCAAAGCUGAAACUUAAAGGAAUUGACGGAAGGGCACCACCAGGAGUGGAGCCUGCGGCUUAAUUUGACUCAACACGGGAAAACUCACCCGGCCCGGACACCGUAAGGAUUGACAGACUGAGAGCUCUUUCUUAAUUCGGUGGGUGGUGGUGCAUGGCCGUUCUUAGUUGGUGGAGCGAUUUGUCUGGUUAAUUCCGAUAACGAACGAGACUCUGGCCUAUUAAAUAGACGAUAUAUCUAAAAGUGUAUCGUACUUCUUAGAGGGACAAGCGGCGUCUAGCCGCAUGAAAUAGAGCAAUAACAGGUCUGUGAUGCCCUUAGAUGUCCGGGGCUGCACGCGCGCUACACUGAAAGAAUCAGUGUGCGUUAUACCUAGUUCGGAAGAACCGGGUAACCCAAGUAAAUUCUUUCGUGCUUGGGAUAGGGAAUUGCAAUUAUUUCCCUUAAACGAGGAAUUCCCAGUAAAUGCGGGUCAUAAGCUCGCGUUG